CCCCCACCCAACCUCUCCCCCAGGCUCUGCGCGGGCCUGACUGUCUCCGGUCCCUGGUCGACUGGGCCCUAAAUUUCCUGUGGGAGCGAGUUGCCCCCUGGAUCCAGCACCAGGGGGGCUGGGACUUCAUCUUCAGUUACCUCACCUCUUCCGCCUAGGGGGGGACAGACCCCAUCCCGGGAUGGCAUCAGCAGCUGGACAGAGCAGCCCCCCCUCUGCAGCAGAGACCUUACUGGGUGGACAGGGCAGGAAUUACCCAAUGCCCUUAGCUCUGCAGAAGCAAAGGCAGGCUGGGGGGAGAGGGGGGCUGAGGGGGUGAUGUGUGAGCAUCUCCCCACACACACACACAAAAAGAAAAUCACAAAUGAAAAAGGACAAAUAAUCAGGGCUGCCAAUGAAUCACGAUUAACUCGAAACAAAUUAACUUGAUUUAAAAACCUCAGUUGCGCCGAAUCAUCAUUUUAACACCGCUGUUCACCCGGAGCAGGACUUGUUCGAACAGGUGAUCGAUACUUUGGGAGCUCGAGACGCUGAAACCAACCGCAACAUGGGCUACAAACUGCACCGGGCUUCACGCUCCGUGCUGAGUCCCGCUGACAAAGAUUUGCCCUGGA